UACGGAGGAUCCGAGCGUUAUCCGGAUUUAUUGGGUUUAAAGGGAGCGUAGGUGGAUUGUUAAGUCAGUUGUGAAAGUUUGCGGCUCAACCGUAAAAUUGCAGUUGAAACUGGCAGUCUUGAGUACAGUAGAGGUGGGCGGAAUUCGUGGUGUAGCGGUGAAAUGCGUAGAUAUUAGGAGGAACACCAGUGGCGAAGGCGACUUUCUGGACUGUACCUGACGCUGAGGCGCGAAAGCGUGGGUAGCGAACGGG
rnacentral:rRNA from 1 species